AGAGUUUGAUCCUGGCUCAGGACGAACGCUGGCGGCGUGCCUAAUACAUGCAAGUCGAGCGGACAGAAGGGAGCUUGCUCCCGGAUGUUAGCGGCGGACGGGUGAGUAACACGUGGGUAACCUGCCUGUAAGACUGGGAUAACUCCGGGAAACCGGAGCUAAUACCGGAUAGUUCYUUGAACCGCAUGGUUCAAGGAUGAAAGACGGUUUCGGCUGUCACUUACAGAUGGACCCGCGGCGCAUUAGCUAGUUGGUGAGGUAACGGCUCACCAAGGCGACGAUGCGUAGCCGACCUGAGAGGGUGAUCGGCCACACUGGGACUGAGACACGGCCCAGACUCCUACGGGAGGCAGCAGUAGGGAAUCUUCCGCAAUGGACGAAAGUCUGACGGAGCAACGCCGCGUGAGUGAUGAAGGUUUUCGGAUCGUAAAGCUCUGUUGUUAGGGAAGAACAAGUGCAAGAGUAACUGCUUGCACCUGACGGUACCUAACCAGAA
rnacentral:rRNA from 1 species